rnacentral:rRNA from 1 species
GACGAACGCUGGCGGCGUGCUUAACACAUGCAAGUCGAACGGAAACGCCCUGCUUUUGUGGGCUGCUCGAGUGGCGAACGGGUGAGUAACACGUGAGUAACCUGCCCUUGACUUUGGGAUAACUUAAGGAAACUGGGGCUAAUACCGGAUAGGAGCUCCUGCUGCAUGGUGGGGGUUGGAUAGUUUCGGCGGUUGGGGAUGGACUCGCGGCUUAUCGGCUUGUUGGUGGGGUAGUGGCUUACCAAGUCUUUGCCCGGUCGCCGGCCUGUGAGGGUAACCGGCCACAUUGGGACUGAGAUACGGCCCAGACUCGUAUGGUAGGCAGCGGUGGGGAGUAUUGUACAAUGGGAGGAAGCCGGAUGCAGCGACGCCGCGUGCGGGAAGACGUCCUGCUGGUAGUGAACCGCUGUCGCCUGUGACGAAGCGGUAAUGACGGUAAUGGGUGAAUAAGCACCGGCUAACUACGUG